CCUCUUAAGCAGCUUACCGAUGAAUAAAAAUGAAAAAAAAAGACAUAAAGUUGAUGUUUGGCUUUUAUAGUCAGCAGAAGUAUAACGUAUAAUGAAAAAAAAAGACAUAAAGUUGAAACACAUUAUCUAACAAUAAUUGUGUCUACUGUCUAUGCCAGAUUUACGCACCAUCAAAGCACAACGAUUACGAGUCAAAAUGCUUCCCAGGGAUAGAUGAUGCUGUUGAAAAUGCAAAUAAACUCAACACUAAAGAAUCGUGGGGUGCGGCACAACAUGAAAUUUGGAGGCUGUAAAGCAAGAUUUUACUGUUGUGUGAAAGAGAGCAUGCUUGCUUCAGUCUCUACAAAUACUUCAUCAAGCUCAACACUCUACAAUCACUCAACUCAGACGAAUUAAACUUUCAAAUUAAUAUAUUGACUCUUUGCAUCUGGAUCUUGCGUUGUUUCUCGGCUCUCACAUCAAGGUUUCACAUUUUUUGUCGGCUUUUUACAUCUGCCUCUUGCAUUAUUGUAAGUUCUUCCAAAUUUCUUGA